AUAUUUAUCUGGACAAUGAGCAAUAUGAAAGCUCAUGGCUUAGGCCCGUGAUUUCCAUUGUACUUUGAAAGAUUGUUGUCAUUAGGUCUCCCCAAGAGGAAGAUCCUGCAUAUCAUAAUUUAUAGUACC
rnacentral:snRNA from 11 species